UCUCGCUCACCAUCUUUCUUCUGCUUGGGCUCCUUUUCUCCACCUCAUCACCUCUUUUCACCAUGUAAAGUGAGUUCUCCAGGUGGAGCUUGGCCAUUUAGAGGCUUGUGGACUGGCGGGUUGACUGGUGCGCGGUUUCUUCCUGAACCCAGGCUCACCCCAGGGACUGAAGCCCGGGGGCUCUUGAAGCUCAACGUGGCGAAGUCCAGCAUCUCCUCAUCGAGAAGGACGCCGCCUGGCCACACUCAGUGCUCUAGCUCCAGACAAAGACUGCCAUGCUCUCUCUGUUGUUCCUCCGUGGUCGUAGCCCUGUGUCUGACAGUGAUGGUGUUGUUCCGUCGUUCUCCGCUGGCCUCCUCCCCCGACAGGCACACAGCUCCUGACUCCUAAUUGGUGGGAAUGCUAGCAGCAUCUGGUUCUGGUGAGCGUCUUUUGUCCACGAUGGCGCUUAUCCAGCCGUUUGACAGCUGGUUGCCAUAACGUCAUCACCUUGGCGACAGACUGGACCCUGGCGCUGUUCUGGAGUACCUGCCACUCAGCAUUACCAGCCACCCUCACAGAAGAGACAGGGCAUUUCAUGCGUCCAAGAAAUCAAGCAGUUUCAGAGCCAUAUUUGAUAAUAAGCUUAUUUCUGCCCCCACCAGAACACAGUACAGCAAACAGACUGUCCAGCUCACCAUGACUAACCCCAGCCUGUGGGAAACGGGACUAAUAUUUUAGUGGAAGAAUUAUAUGGCCUGUUAACUUAAAAGAUUCUGUCAACAGUGCAUGGUGUCAGUAUGCCAUUGCUUAUAAUGACAUUCAACUCUCAACAUUUCACUGUGAGGUUCCAGCUCGACUGAUGAUAGUUAAGCAGAGACCUUGUUGGCCUUGAAAAAACGAAAAGGAUCAAGACUUUUCUCUCUUUUUCCUGUGUUAUUCUUUCAAAUCUUACACUCUGGUCAUCUCAUCUCCUCUGUGGCCACAUAAUCCUGGAAUGGUCAGGCUUAAUGAUUGUUUCUACGAGCCUCUAAUGUGAGGUAAUGAUGAACCUCUGCAGAUGAUAAUGUCGUUGUUAGUCUGUGAACAGUUGCUGUAUUUGAAGUAUUUGCUUGACGAAAUAAGAAUCAAACUUCUGGAUUUGGAGAAAUGUAUGUCUUUGAGGAAAACAUGUUAACCGUCUUGAUUAGUUACACAUUUUGGAGAAAGUGCAUAACAUUUAUAUCUUUUUUGUAUUUGUUAUUAUAUUGCCCUUUAAUUUGUUAUUAGAAACUUUUUUUUAACUGAAUCUGAAAACUAGGAUUAACAGUGUGAAGGUAUUACAUGACAUCACUUGGCUCAUAGUGAACAUCCAGGCAGUUAAGCUACUUACACUGAUGAAUAUGACUCAUAAGUCAAAAAUAAAAUUCCACUCCAUUGUCUUACUACUCCUCAACCUUAAUAAUUAAUCAUCUAUGGACACACAACUUUUAGAUUGCCUUUUCAGGAGUUCAACAAACAUAUACUCAUAAGGAAAACUUCAUAAAACAAAGUAAACAUGCAUCUUGGUUCCAAGGUGGCACUCAGUCCACACAUCACAUCAUAUUUGCUGCUAUUUCAUAUCCGCACAUGAGAAAACACAGCGGUGGCCAUACAGGAGAGGAGGCAAACAGCAUGAGGGCACCGUUUUCAAGCUGUGGUGACCAAUGGCUCCUGCCUGUCCGUGGCCUAACAGUCUUGCCUCUGCCCCAGCGGUUCAAUGCAGGUAUUCACAAACUGGAUUCCAGUGGCCAUCAGAACAUCUAAGCCAACGGGACACAGUGACUCUUCUACUGUCGAUCAUGCCAAAAUAUAACCCAUAAAGUCACUUUUUUUUCUCUUUAAA